AAUAGAUACCCGGGUAGUCCACGCCGUAAACGAUGGAUGCUAGCUGUUAGGAGUAUCGACCCUCCUAGUAGCGUAGCUAACGCGUUAAGCAUCCCGCCUGUGGAGUACGGUCGCAAGACUAAAACAUAAAGGAAUUGACGGGGACCCGCACAAGCGGUGGAGCGUGUUGUUUAAUUCGAUGGUAAGCGAAGAACCUUACCCAGGCUUGACAUCCCACUAAGGACUCCGAAAGGAGACUGUGUCUUCGGACCGUGGUGACAGGUGUUGCAUGGCCGUCGUCAGCUCGUGUCGUGAGAUGUUUGGUUAAGUCCAUCAACGAGCGCAACCCUUAUAGUUAGUUGUAUUUUUCUAGCUAGACUGCCCUGGCAACAGGGAGGAAGGAGGGGAUGAUGUCAGGUCAGUAUUACCCUUACGCCUGGGGCUACAAACACGCUACAAUGGCCGGUACAAAGGGCAGCCAACCCGCGAGGGGGAGCAAAGUCCCAUCAAAGCCGGUCUCAGUUCGGAUUGCAGGCUGAAACUCGCCUGCAUGAAG
rnacentral:rRNA from 1 species